AACGAACGCUGGCGGCAGGCCUAACACAUGCAAGUCGAGCGCCCCGCCAGUGGAGCGGCGGACGGCUCAGUACCGCGUGGGAAUAUGCCCUUUGCUACGGACUAGUCUCGGGAAACUGGGGGUAAUAGCGUAUACGCCCUUUGGCGGGAAGAUUUAUCGGCGAAGGAUUAGCCCGCGUUGGAUUUGGUAGUUGGUGGGGUAAUGGCAUACCAAGCCGACGAUGCAUAGCUGGUUUGAGUGGAUGCUCAGCCACACUGGGGCUGAGACACGGCCCAGACUCCUACGCGAGGCAGCAGUAGAGAAUCUUAGACACUGGGGGCAAACCUGAUAAAGCCAUGCCGCGUGUGUGAGGAAGGGCUUAGGGUUGUAAAGCUCUUUCAGAUGGAACGAUAAUGACGGUACCAGCAAAAGAAGCCCCGGCUAACUCCGUG
rnacentral:rRNA from 1 species